rnacentral:piRNA from 1 species
UAGGUGUCAGCGUUCAUCCAAAGGCCCUUCUCAAAGAAAUGGGGAGGCAUGACAUCACCUUCACUGCUGAUAACGCCAAGGACCAUUACGGAGGCAGGAAAUUUCGUGUGCAUCACGACAGGUAUCUCUGAGGGGUCUUUACAGAUCCAGCGAUCAUUCCUGGGAUUUACCUUUUGGUCCACGUCAAAGUUCUUUUCGUCAGAGAAGAACCUUAGCAUGCCAAAAGAGUCGUGUUUCAGGUUGUUGAGGAGGGCAGCAGCCUUUCCUUUUCUGUUAUUCUUCAUAUUCUCAGUCAGCAACUGACCUUUCCGAAGGGCAUAAGACUUGAGACCAAGGUCCUCAUGGAUAGUUCUGACAAUUGUCAUAGAGCCAACGUCCAUUUCCUUGGCUAUGGCCCUCAUGCUCUACCCAGGGUUUCCAUCAAUCUUCUCCUUGACAUUUUUGACAAAUUCUUCGCCUCUUACCCUGUCCGAUCGACGCGAGUGCUUUUUCCUUGUAGCUAUCCCCUCUUUGUUACUGUCGGCCUCAUCAAACUGCUUCUUGACACGAUAAAUAGUGGUUUUGGGCAACUUAAGAAAAUCCACUAUCUCUUUGGGGCUCCUUCCGGCGCGCAGAGCAACGAUGAUGGCAGCUCGAUUUUCAAAUUCUCGGUUACUCUUCAUCACUACACUGCGCACACAUGUACUGUUGCAUUUAUAGAUCCUUAAGGUAAGAGUAUCUUCUUAUUUAUAACAAGGCAAUACACCAUACAUGGUGGCAGCUAAUUGGCGAUAGUGCCCUAAGCCUAAUCUAAUUACUAGUAAAAACAAAAAGAAUUAUUUUUGCAUAACGAAAAAAAAAAAGAAAAAGAAUGCAAAAUAUAAAUCCUCCAGAGCAAUUUAAUUUUAAUAAUCCAAAUGAAUGGCCAAAUUGGAUUAAAAUAUUUGAACGUUUUAGAAAAGCGUCAGAAAUAAAAUCGAAAAAGGAGGAAGAGCAGGUAAAUGCUCUAAUUUACAUAUUAGGUGAAAAAGCCGAAGAUGCUCUAAUAUCAUUCAAUUUAACUGAUAUAUAAAUAAACAACUAUGAAAUAGUUGUUAAGAAAUUUGAAGAGAACUUUAUAGGUAAACGAAAUGUCAUCUUUGAAAGAGCACAAUUUAAUCGUAGAUAUCAGCAGGAUGGAGAAGCUGUCGAGGAAUACAUGAGAGUGCUUCACAAAAUGGCCGAAAAUUGUAACUAUGGAUCUCUGAAAGAAGAAAUGAUUAGAGAUAGAAUAGUUUUUGGAGUAAAAAAUCUGCAACUUUUAGAGAAGUUGCAACUAGAGCCUAACUUGACCUUGGAAAGGGCUAUCCAAGCUGCUUGCCAGACAGAAUGUGUGAAGCAACAACAGGCUAUUCUUCGGUCAACAACAACACAGGCUGCCAAUGUAGACCAAAUCUAUGAAAAAAGGUUACCACCAAGAAGGUUCAAUUCUACAUUUGGGAAAAGAGACGCUUCAAAGAAAAGUAAAUUUCAGAAGUGAAGCAAGCCUGAAAAAUCUGGAUGUAUAAGAUGUGGUGCUUCAAAAUUCCAUCCAUAUAAAGACUGCCCAGCAAAAGAAGUUAAAUGCCAUAAAUGUAAAAAGGUAGGACAUUUUGCAAAGGUGUGCUACAAUAAGACAGUAGGACAAGUCACCCAAGGUGAUGACUACCAUUUUGUUGGUAAUAUCCAUGAGAAUGGACAAAACUCAAAUGAUUGGAAGGUUUAUGUAAAAGUAGAUAAGAUUAAAAUGCUUUUUAAAAUGGAUACAGGAUCAGAUGUAAAUAUAAUACCCAAAGAGAUUUAUUUUAAAAAUUUUGCUCACAAGAAGUUAUGCAAACCUGAUAUUCAACUUUUAGGACCUAGACAGGUUAAAUUGCAUGUAAUGGGAAAAUUCACAGCUUUGAUAGAAAAAGAUGGGAGAAGCAUCCCUGGAGAAAUAUUUGUUGUUCCUCAACUAAUGCAACCACUCUUGAGCGGAAAAGCCAGUGAAUCUCUAAACCUAAUCAAAAGACUUCAGUCAAUUGAGAAAAGUAAUUCGCUUAAUCCUUUUGAAGAAUAUUCAAAGCUUAUCACAGGACUCGGAACACUCCAAGGGAGCUACACAAUUAAAUUGAAAUAUGAAUCACAGCCUUAUGCUAUAUAUACUCCCAGAAGAAUACCCAUUCCACUUUUGAAUAGAACAAAAGAACAACUUGAUCAAAUGGUUGAAAAAGGAGUAAUUGAAAAAGUUGAGCGACCAACGGAUUGGUGUGCUCCAAUGGUCAUUGUGCCCAAACCGUCUUCUAAUGAUCUAAGGAUUUGUGUAGAUCUGACAGCUCUAAACAAGUUUGUUAAAAGAGAACAUUAUCCAAUUCCAUUAGUGGAAUAUACCUUGGCACAAAUGGGAGGAGCUAAAUUGUUUUCAAAACUGGAUGCCAACAGUGGAUUUUGGCAGAUACCCCUGUCAGAGGAAUCAUCUAGCCUUACAACCUUCCUGACCCCAUUUGGCAGAUACAGAUUCAAACGGCUACCCUUCGGAAUUUCUUCUGCACCUGAGGUAUUCCAGAGAAAGAUGAGCAAUCUACUGGAGAGCCAAUCUGGAGUAAAUUGUCACGUGGACGACAUUGUGAUUUGGGGAGCUACACAAGAAGAACAUGAUGAAAGGUUAAGAUGCGUCCUUAGGAAGCUUCAAGAUUCAGGACUGACCCUGAAUAAAGAGAAAUGCAUCUUCUCAGUGAAGGAAAUCAAAUUUCUUGGUCACCUGAUUACAGAAAGAGGAGUGUUACCUGAUCCAAACAAAGUCCGGGCCAACAGAGAGUUUCCAUCACCUUCAAGCAUUUCUAAAGUGCGCAGAUUCCUGGGAAUGGUGAACUUCACAGGUAAAUUUAUACCGGACCUUUCAACUAUCCUCUACCCACUUAAUCAACUCCUAGUAAAGAGAAAUGAUUGGAGAUGGGAUAGUGCUCAGGAGGAAGCAUUUGAAAAAGUGAAGAAACUUCUUUCAACUUCUCCAACACUAACACUUUUUGACCCAAUCUACCAACUACAGUGUCUGCAGAUGCUUCUUCAUAUGGACUAGGAGCAGUGCUUUUACAAAAAUCUGAAGAUGGAUACCAAAAAGCAGUUGCAUAUGCCUCCUGGACUAUGUCUGAAACUGAAAAGAGAUGGGCUCAAAUUGAGAAAAAAUCUCUAGCAAUAGUUUGGGCCUGUGAAAGAUUUCAAGGCUAUCUGAUGGGAAAUACAUUUUCCAUUGAAACUGACCAUAAACCUCUCAUUCCAAUAUUUUCAACCAAAAAUCUAGAUGAAAUGACACCACGCAUACAGCGACUACGACUUCGGAUGAUGCGCUACUUAUUAAGAUAUCGCAUGAGAAAGAUCUGGAGAAUGAAAUCUGUAGUUUUGUUCAACAGAUCACACUUCAUGUCCUCAAUUCAAGGAUGAAAAUAUGAAAGAAAUCUGGCAAUAUCAAAAUGAAGAGAGAGAGUGUAGAGAAAUAAAGGACUAUUGUAAAAAGGGCUGGCCUACAAAGAAUGAGCUUUCUACAGAAGCAAAAGCCUUUUGNNNNNNNNNNNNNNNNNNNNNNNNNNNNNNNNNNNNNNNNNNNNNNNNNNNNNNNNNNNNNNNNNNNNNNNNNNNNNNNNNNNNNNNNNNNNNNNNNNNNUCCGGAAUCACGGUGAAAGGCACUGGUGUUGGUAACACCUUGAAAUGGUUCGGAUGGAGUAGGGAGUGAAUUGGUCCCUUUUAUUCUAGUCAUGGUAGAGUACCAUUCGGUCAGGGUUUUAGAGGCUAUGGCCCUCAUGAGGCGCUGAUCACUGGCCUGGAGGCCUUCCGUUAAUGCUUCCACUAUGAUAGGAUUGGUUAGGCCCAGUUGUAAUCCCAUAGUUAUUUUUUGGCGGUGAUAGUCUCCUAAUUGGAUCUGACUAGUUAAUUUAAAAGUUAAAAAUUUGGUGAAAGUGACCUCGGAUUUUCCGGGGUAGAGGUCCAUGAGAGUUUGUUUUGCCUGACUGUAUGGCAGAGAGGCCAGAUUCAGUUCGUUGUAGAGGGAGAGGGGCUCACCUUUGAGUAGCGUGCGGAGCCGGGCUUGCAGGGUGGCGUCAUCUUGCGGUCUCUCGCUCGUCCGCUCGAGUUGCUGGAUGAAGUUGCUUGCUGCGUAGGAUCCGUCGAAAGGAGAGAUGAGGGCUUCCUCCGCACAAGGCACGGCUAUUCCCCGAAUGGCGUCUGUUAGGCGGCUUACUAGGUCUUCGCAGUGGGGUUGCAUGUUUGUGAGGGCAUCCGCGAAGUAUUCGUCUCUGACCUCCGUCAUCCUCUGCAUGCUGCUGUCCUCAGUUAUCCUGUCGACUUAAACGGGUUCUGUAGUAACCCCGACCAAGCCGACGUGGAAUGUACUGGGCAGUCGUGGUCGUGGGUGCGUGAUGGGAUUCCCGCACGGGGACAGCAAGGGACAGAGGCAGUCGGACCACGGGCGCCGCGGAUGCCCUAAGCCUACUCGCGGAUAGAAGAAGGGGUGAGAGAUCCGACCGACCGUAUAACGGCGUCACUCUGAAAACAACUCCUUUGUCUCAUUUUCUGGGCCCUUUUAUACUGGACCCCCGCAUAUGGCGGUGAGUCCUGAUUGGCUCCUGUAAUAACGCCACCUUCUGGCGCCGUUGGUCGUUGUCGCCGUCUGGUCUACCUUUGCCUCUUUGUUUAUUUGUUACAUCCAUUUCCACAAGGUCGAUACAUAUUUUUAUAUAGAUAUGGGGUUAUAAUAAAUACCAGAAGAAGGUUGUGAACUAUCUAACUCAAAAUAUACUACAUAUAUAUUUUUAGAAUUUAUUUUUGGAACACAAAUGUAUUUUUAGUUCCACCUUUUGCUACGAGGGGCGCUGUUUGCCAGGCCGUUAUGCACCGUUUUAAACGUGAAUUUUUUUUAAAAUUCGUUUUUAAUAUACAUAUUUAUUUUAUAUAUAAAUAUAUAUAUGUAUUUAUUUGUUAUUUUUAUUACAAAAUUAUAUUAAUAUUUGAGCAUCAAAUAUAUAUAUAUAGAAUAUAUUUUUUGAAACAUAAAUGUUUUUAAUUCCACUUGUUUCCGCGGGCUAGAUUGGAUAGUAGAUCAAAAAUUUUGUAAACAAAAUUUCAAUGAAAUGUGAAACUAGAAAAUAAUUAGCCUGAUACCAUUCCAAAAUGUCAAGAGAGUUUACAUUGAAAAUUUGAUAUUUGAAUCAGUAGUUUGUGUGGGAGUUUAUAGAUAAAUAGAAAGAAAAAUUCUCCGAUUUUUUAUAUAUAACAUAUAAAUAUAUAGAUGGAAAUUUUUCCGGGAGGAUAUUGAUCUAAAGAGACAAGGGUCGCCUCUCCCGUCAAAAUAGAUGGGGUCUGGUUUUGACGUCUAUUUUGACGGGAGAAGCGACCCUUGUCUCUUUAUAUAAAUAUAUAUAUAUUAGAAAUUAAAAGGGGCAUUUCCUGACCGCUAACAUGAGCAUUUUUGAUGGAAGAGCGCCAUCUAAUGGAACAAAAAUAAACCAAAUUUAGAUCUCUAUUAAUUGAUCGUCUCCAAGUAAACGCUUCUCAGUUCGUCAAAGCUGGUGUUGUGGCUUUGUCACCGACCCGAGUCCGCUAAUUUGCGGAGGCUGUCAAUAGAUGGCGCUUAGUUUUAGCGUCUAUUUAGACGGGAGAGGUGACCUUUAUUUUUAUAUAUCAAUUUUUUUUCCCGGGAAAAUUUCCAUAUAUAAAUAAGGAUGUUUAUUCAUUGAGAGACUUAAUAGGAAACGCAUGUUGGUGUCCAAAAAAUGAGAAACUUUUGUUUUUUUAAUGAUAUGUUUUAAAAUAUACAACCCUAAAAGCUAAAAAGUAAUUUAAUUAGGUAUUUUAAGUCGUAGAAUUUAUUUAUCGCAACCAUUCGAUUCGGUAAAAUUGAAAAUAUGCAAAUUUUUGCUUGUCUUUAUAAGUGUGCUAUUUGGCGUGUCGUUUACCCCAUCUAAGAAUUGUCCAAUUAUAAUUUAUUUAACCCUUAGUUAAUUAUGAGUUUACGAAAAAUUUUAGCAGAUGAUUUAAAAUGGAGAGCUGUUGGAAGAAUGGAGGCAGGGCAAUCACAAGUUGAAGUAGCAAAAUGGCUAAAUGUGAUUAAAUCUGUGGUCAGCAAAAUAUGGAAACAGUUCAUUGAGACAGGAACCAUCAAAAGAAAAGAAGGUUCUGGUAGAAAAGAAAAAUAGCUACCUCUGAAGACCGUUAUCUGGUCGUAACUACCAAGCGCCAUAGGGAGAUGACAGCUAUUCAACUCUCUAAUGAACUCUCAAGUGCUACUGGAACGAGAAUUUCAAGACAAACUGUUUACCGAAGGCUUCACGAAGGUGCUCUUUAUGCAAGACGACCAAUGGUCUGUAUCCCUUUAACCUCUGCUCACAGGAGAGCCCGCUUGAAUUGGUGCUUGGAACAUCACGCCUGGACUCAUGAUCAGUGGGCCAAUGUUCUCUUCAGUGACGAGUCAAGAUUUAGUUUAAACACAGAUUCUCGACGAGUUUUCAUCUGGAGGGAGCCUGGAACCCGCUAUCAUCCCAGUAACAUCAGGGAAAUAGACAGUUUCAGAGAGGGCAGUCUCUUAGUCUGGGCUGGCAUCAGUUCUAGCAGACGCACACCCCUCCACAUUUUUUUCUGGGGGCACUUUAACUGCCCAAAGGUACAGGGACGAGAUCCUUGAGCCCUAUCUAAGACCUUAUAGAGAUCAAAUUGGUCACAAUUUAACUUUUAUGGACGAUAAUGCUCGUCCGCAUAGGGCUAGGCUAGUCAAUGAAUAUCUCCAGAGUGAGAAUAUUCGAAGGAUGGAUUGGCCAGCCAGAUCUCCGGACCUGAAUCCAAUAGAGCAUGUGUGGGAUGCUCUAGGGAGGCGUAUUGGAGCUCGUCACCCCUCUCCCAGAACCCUCGUUGAGCUAAGAACUGCUCUAUUGGAGGAGUGGGGUUUACUACCCCUGGACCUCCUCCAAAGCCUGGUAAACAGUAUGAGGGCUCGCUGUGAGACCUUGAUAGCUGUUAGAGGUGAUCAUACUCCCUAUUGAUAUCUUAUUUCUAUAACUUCCAUAAAAAUGCUGUAAAAAAUAAAGACUUAACCAAACAUCCAAACAUACAAAAAAUUUCUGUUUGAUGAGAAGGACAGAGCCAAUAUCCAAUUAUUUGUUUAGGCAGGUACGAUAAGUUAACCCCCCACACUGAUAAAACGGUGUUUACCUUACAACCCUGAACACUCGGAUUUUCCUGGAAAAUCUCUUAAAGAUUUCUUGAAAUAGCCAUGGCCCACCUGUGCUGUGUGAGCAGAAGAGCUUAAAUUGACUUGUUCCAUAUGUAAAUACCUGUUUUCUUUCCUCUUUUCGCUCUCCACUUCUCCCAUCCAUAUUUCCAUUUUUUUCUUAUUUUAUUCUUUCUUAUAAUCUGUAUAUAUUUACCAUAUGUAUAUAAUCUUUCUCCAUUUUUUAUUUCCCACUUUCAUAGGUUUCCCCGUCUUGUAACCCCAAGGAGAAUCCUCUGUAAGACCUGUGUGUCUUAAUAAAGGCUUUUGUGUGUGUGAUAUCUUAUUUCUUUAAGAUCUGGAACCUUAGCUUUGGGUAUGUUGGUAAUAAUUUGCAUAUUCCAUAAUUUCAAAUAUUUUUUUUAAAUUUUCAUAUAGCUAGUCAAAUUCUCCAUAGUUUAAACUAUUUGUAUACUAAAUUUUAUAUUUGUUAAUAAAUUAGCUUUUGAGAAAUUUCAAUAUUGGUUAAGUUUCUUAUUUUUUUGACACCAGUUUAUGUAUGUGUGUAUUUUUCUAAUAAUAUUUUUAAAAAUUAAGACAAAUGAAACAACGUUCAUUGAUUAAAAACUUUUAUUGCGAUAAAAAUGUAAUGGUUACAGUUGGAGAGAUACACAUAAAGGGAUUAAUUUAAGAAGGACAUUUUAAAUAUUUUAAAUAUAUGUAAAACAUAAAUUUGGGGUGCCUCUAGAAAUUGGCCAAUUGCUUUUUAUUUUUUUUCUCUUUAAACCUAUAAAAAAGGUGUCAUAUAUAUAUACAUACACAUAUGUAAAUAUAGCGAGAUUAAUAAAAUACGAAAUCAUCUCUAAAAUCUAUAUAGGGAUAUGGACUUUUUUUUUUUGGCCAAAAGAUUUUUUUUGUUUAUUUUUUCUAGAAAAAAAAUUCUGUACAAUUAUAAACACCGAAAUAUUAAUCUUGACAAAAAUUAAUUUGAUAUUUAAAGUAUUUUAUGAAAGUAAUUUCGUGUGUUUAUACAUCGAGACAUAUAUGCUAAAAGAUAUUAUGCAAAUAUAUUUUGUUAUGUAUUUACAUAUAUGAUAUUUUUUACACCAUAGAAAAUAUAUUACACUUCUCUAGUUGUGUUGUCUCAUUAAGAUAUGCUAUGUUGUAAAAAUUAUGGCCAUUGAUUCACGCCAAAAUUGUUAAAAAUAAAUGUGAGAGAGAGAGAGAAAAACAAAACAAAUAUAUAUUCAAAAAUAAAAAGAAAAUCGAAAAAAAACACCAACCGAUAAAAAAAAAAAGAAUAUAUAGAUGAAGUUUGAAAAAUCGUAUUUUAAAGAGUAAAAUUAUUUAUAUUAAUAAUAAAAUAAAUCAUAUAUAUAAAAUGUUACAUAUUAUAUAUUACAUAUUUUAUAUAUUACAUAUUUAUUUAAAAUAAUUUAGAUAUAUUUAGAGAAAGGGGAAAAAAGAUGGCAUAUAUAUAUAUUUACAAUUUAUUCUCGUUAUAAUAUAUUUUUCCAGUCUAUAUCUUUGUGGAAAGAACUUAUUUAAUCAAUUUUAGACCUUUCCCGCCAAUUUUUAUUU